UACGUAGGGUGCAAGCGUUGUCCGGAAUUAUUGGGCGUAAAGAGCUCGUAGGCGGCUCGUCACGUCGGCUGUGAAAACCCGGGGCUCAACCCCGGGCCUGCAGUCGAUACGGGCGAGCUAGAGUUCGGCAGGGGAGACUGGAAUUCCUGGUGUAGCGGUGAAAUGCGCAGAUAUCAGGAGGAACACCGGUGGCGAAGGCGGGUCUCUGGGCCGAUACUGACGCUGAGGUGCGAAAGCGUGGGGAGCAAACAGG
rnacentral:rRNA from 1 species